rnacentral:lncRNA from 1 species
AUGGUGACGGUAAACAAGCCUCGUCGUUCGCCUAGCCAGCGCCCCAGUCUCUGGUGGAAACCAGUGAGAUGGAACCCCGGGGCGCCGCAGUACUCCGCCGGCCCAGCCCCAGGACUCCACCCUGCGCAGCACCGGAGCGCUUGGCAGCCCGCACACGUUGUCCCGGACACCCUCUGCUGGCUUGCCUCAGCCACUCUCCCAAGGCAUCUUCCUUCCCGACUCUCUGCACACUCGGUCUUGGUUUCUCCUGAGAGCAGCCAUCAGGAGGGCUCCUACUCGCCCGCUGCAUCCUCUGCCCACCUUCCUGCCUCUGGCUCCGGACCAGCCCGGUGUCCAGUGCGCCACGCGAUGAGCCCCUAAUGCCCGCGUCCGCACAGCCUCCCUCCCUCCCUACCCUCCACUCCAUCAGGUCUCCCCAGUCUCCUCACUCCAGGACGUCCUUCCUGCGCUUCUCCCCUUGGCCUUCUCCACGGAGACGGUACCCUCCGCAUGGAAAUACGCUGCUUUGUUCUCUCUCUCUUUUUUAAUUUUUAGUUUUUAAAAGAUUUAAGGGCCGGGAAUUGUGGCUCACGCCUGUAAUCCCAGAACAAUUGGAGUCCAAGGGGGAUGAAUCGCUUGAGGUCAGGAGUUCGAGAUCAGCCUGGCCAACAUGGUGAAACCCCGUGUCUACUAAAAAUACAAAAAUUAGCCAGGCUUGGUGGCGGACGCCUGCAAUCCCAGCUACUCAGGAGGCCGAGGCAGGAGAAUCUCUUGAACCUAGGAGGCGGAGGUUGCAGUGAGAUGAGAUCCGACCACUGCACUGGGAUUGUCAGGGUUGGAACUUUUCUCUAAAACGUCCACUCCCAUUGGUGACCUCAUCCCUUCUUCCUGAAGGCACACGUUUCCCAAAUGCGCCUCAUACUAAAAAAAAAAAAAAAAAGAAAGAAAGAAAAAAAGAAAAAAAAGAAAAAAAAAGAUUUAAAAAACGAGGGUUAGAUGCCAGAAGUAGGUGGGAGCACCUUAACCCUCUGUGUGUUGUCAGGCCCGAGGGCCUCUUCCAUCCCUGUCAAGGGGAAUGCCAACCUUCUUUCCCUUCAUACAGCACGGUUUUCUCCUAAAACCCUCUCUUGACCCCACUUCCACUUGCAGCGACCACCUCACUGCUUUGUGCCCCUUAACAGCAAAGUCAUGCUGUGUUGUCCACCUUCAUUGUUUCCACUUUCUCACCUCCCACCCCAAGGCACUCUCCCUCGUUCCACUCCAACUCCAUCUGCCUUUUCUGCCUGACCAUAUCAUGGCUGAUCAUUUCUUUCUGAAAUUUUUGUUUGUUUGUUUGUUUGUUG